CACCAGGAUGUCACCAUGGCAGCACCUGAAUGUCACCAUGGGAUCACCUGAAUGUCCCCAUGGGAUCACCAUAACAUCACCAUGGGAUCACCAGGAGGUCAACAUGGGAUCAGCAGGAUGUCGCGAUGGGAUCACCAGGCUGUCACCAUGGCAGCACCAGGAUGUCACCAUGGGAUCACCUGAAUGUCCCCAUGGGAUCACCUGAAUGUCACCAUGGGAUCACCAGGAUGUUACCAUGGGAUCGCCUGAAUGUCACCACGGGAUCACCAGGAUCUCACUAUGGGAUCACCAGGAUUCCACCAUGGGAUCACCUGAACGUCCCCAUGGGAUCACCUGAAUGUCUCCAUGGGAUCACCAGGACCUCACUAUGGGAUCACCAGGAUGUCACCAUGGCAUCACCUGAAUGUCCCCAUGGGAUCACCAGGAGUCACCAUGGCAGCACCAGGAUGUCCCCAUGGGAUCACCAGGAGCUCAUUAUGGGAUCACCAGGAGGUCCCCAUAGGAUCACCUGAAUGUCCCCAUGGGAUCACCAGGAGCUCAUUAUGGGAUCACCAGGAUGUCCACAUGGGAUCACCAGGAGGUCGCCAUGACAGCACCAAGAUGUGACCAUGGGAUCACCAGGAUCUCAUUAUGGGAUCACCUGAAUGUCCCCAUGGGAUCACCAGGAUGUCAUCAUGGGAUCACCUGAAUGUCCCCAUGGGAUCACCUGAAUGUCACCAUGGGAUCACCAUAACAUCACCAUGGGAUCACCAGGAGCUCAUUAUGGGAUCACCAGGAUGUGACCAUGGGAUCAGUGCGAUGUCCCCAUGGGAUCACCAGAAUGUCCCCAUGGGAUCACCUGAAUGUCACCAUGGGAUCACCAGGAUGUCACUAUGGGAUCACCAGGAUGUCACCAUGGCAGCACCAGGAUGUCCCCAUGGGAUCACCAGGACCUCACUAUGGGAUCACCAGGAUGUCACCAUGGGAUCAGCAGGAUGUCACCACAGGAUCACAAGGAUGUCACCAUGGGAUCAGCAGGAUCUCAUUAUGGGAUCAGCAGCUGUCCGUAUGGGAUCAGUGGGCUGUCUGUAUGGGAUCACCAGGAUGUCACUAUGGGAUCAGCAGGCUGUCACUAUGGGAUCACCGCAACGUCACCAUGGGAUCAGAAGGCUGUCUGUAUGGGAUCACCAGGAUGUCCCUAUGGGAUCAGCAAGCUGUCACUAUGGGAUCACCAGGCUGUCCCUAUGAGAUCAGCAGGAUGUUGCUAUGGGAUCAGCAGGAUCCCACCAUAGCAGUACCAGGCUGACACUAUGGGAUCAGAAGGCUGUCACUAUGGGAUCACCGUAAUGUCACCAUGGGAUCAGCAGGCUGUCACUAUGGGAUCAGCAGGCUGUCCGUAUGGGAUCAGCAGACUGUCCCUAUGGGAUCAGUGGGCUGUCUGUAUGGGACCAGCAGGCUGUUCCUAUGGGAUCAGUGAAUCUCACUAUGGGACCACCAGGCUGUCCGUAUGGGAUCAGUGGGCUGUCUGUAUGGGAUCAGUAGGAUCUCACUAUGGGACCACCAGGCUGUCUGUAUGGGAUGAGGCGGCUGCCCGUAUGGGAUCAGUGGGCUGUCUGUAUGGGAUCAGCAGACUGUCCCUAUGGGAUCAGUGGGCUGUCUGUAUGGGAUGAGGUGGCUGUCCAUAUGGAAUCAGUGUGCUGUCUGUAUGGGAUCAGUAGGAUCUCACUAUGGGAUCAGCAGGCUGUCUGUAUGGGAUCAGCGGGCUGUCUGUAUGGGAUCAGCAGGCUGUUCCUAUGGGAUCUGUAGGAUCUCUCUAUGGGAUCAGCAGGAUCUCACUAGGGGAUCAGCAGGCUGUUCGUGUGGGAUCAGUGGGCUGUCUGUAUGGGAUGAGGUGGCUGUCCGUAUGGGAUCAGUGGGUUGUCUGUAUGGGAUCAGCAGGAUCUCACUAUGGGACCACCAGGCUGUCCGUGUGGGAUCAGUGGGCUGUCUGUAUGGGAUGAGGCGGCUGCCCGUAUGAUAUCAGUGGGCUGUCUGUAUGGGAUCAGCAGGAUCUCACUAUGGGAUCAGCAGGCUGUCCGUAUGGGAUCAGAAGGCUGCCCGUGUGGGAUCGGUGGGCUGUCUGUAUGGGAUCAGAAGGCUGUCCGUGUGGGAUCAGUGGGCUGUCUGUAUGGGAUCAGCAGGAUCUCACUAUGGGAUCAGUAGGAUCUCUCUAUGGGAUCAGCAGGAUCUCACUAUGGGAUCAGCAGGCUGUCCCUAUGGGAUCAGUAGGCUGUCUGUAUGGGAUGAGGCGGCUGCCCAUAUGGGAUCAGUGGGCUGUCUGUAUGGGAUCAGUGGGCUGUUCCUAUGGGAUCAGCAGGAUCUCACUAU
ensembl:lncRNA